AUUAAGGGGAGCCAAAUGGCUGAGAGGAUAUAUUAUCGACCCUUGACCUGAUCUAGGUAAUGCUAGCGUAGGAAUUAAUGUGAA
rnacentral:ncRNA from 1 species